GUGUCUGUGGGAAGGUACCCGCCCCAGCUCUCAGGUGCGGGGAGGAACCCGGGACCCAGGACGGGACCCCACGGGCUGGUGCCAGGGCGCUGGGCACACGGGAGACCCUCCAACAAGCGGAGACGGGAAUGUGGGUGCUCCCAACGUGGGCAGAAUCCCUGCUGCCCCGACUGGAAAUGACUCAUACGCCCAUGGACGAAAGCACGGAAAUACACAGGGGUGUCAUCUACCAGCGGACAGAGUUCUACAGAAAUGAGACGCCAGACCCACAACUCCUCACCGCAGUGCAGACAAACCUCAGGACCUGGCGUUGCACCCAGGAAGCCAGACACCCAAUACUUGGGGAUCCGGGCAGGGGCGGGACUUGGGGUGACAGGUGGUGCCCGGGGCUGCUGGGAAUUGGCGCUAUUCCGCCUGGAUCCAGUGCCUGCUCAGGUUGUGCACCUACGGGGAGCUGAACACUGGGAAUUUGUGCCUGUUCCUGUACCCAUGAAAUAUUUCAAUAAAAAGUAAAAAAUGAGGAAGUCCAAAAGAAAAA